CAUAUCAAUAAGCGGAGGAAAAGAAACCAACAGGGAUUGCCCUAGUAACGGCGAGUGAAGCGGCAACAGCUCAAAUUUGAAAUCUGGCUCUCGGGCCCGAGUUGUAAUUUGUAGAGGAUGACUUUGAUGCGGUGCCUUCCGAGUUCCCUGGAACGGGACGCCAUAGAGGGUGAGAGCCCCGUCUGGUUGGAUGCCAAAUCUCUGUAAGUCUCCUUCGACGAGUCGAGUAGUUUGGGAAUGCUGCUCUAAAUGGGAGGUAUAUGUCUUCUAAAGCUAAAUACCGGCCAGAGACCGAUAGCGCACAAGUAGAGUGAUCGAAAGAUGAAAAGCACUUUGAAAAGAGAGUUAAAAAGUACGUGAAAUUGUUGAAAGGGAAGCGUUUAUGACCAGACUUGGGCUUGGUUAAUCAUCUGGGGUUCUCCCCAGUGCACUUUUCCAGUCCAGGCCAGCAUCAGUUUUCGCCGGGGGAUAAAGACUUCGGGAAUGUGGCUCCCCUCGGGGAGUGUUAUAGCCCGUUGUGUAAUACCCUGGCGGGGACUGAGGUUCGCGCUUCUGCAAGGAUGCUGGCGUAAUGGUCAUCAACGACCCGUCUUGAAACACGGACCAAGGAGUCGUCUUCGUAUGCGAGUGUUCGGGUGUCAAACCCCUACGCGUAAUGAAAGUGAACGCAGGUGAGAGCUUCGGCGCAUCAUCGACCGAUCCUGAUGUUCUCGGAUGGAUUUGAGUAAGAGCAUACGGGGCCGGACCCGAAAGAAGGUGAACUAUGCCUGUGUAGGGUGAAGCCAGAGGAAACUCUGGUGGAGGCUCGCAGCGGUUCUGACGUGCAAAUCGAUCGUCAAACAUGGGCAUGGGGGCGAAAGACUAAUCGAACCUUCUAGUAGCUGGUUUCCGCCGAAGU
rnacentral:rRNA from 1 species